rnacentral:rRNA from 1 species
AGAGUUUGAUCCUGGCUCAGAACGAACGUUGGCGGCGUGGAUUAGGCAUGCAAGUCGAACGAAUCCCCUUUGGGUAACUGAAGGGGGAAAGUGGCGAAAGGGGCAGUAAGGCGUGGGUAACCUACCCCGGGGACCGGGAUAGCCUUCCUAACGGAUGGGUAAUACCGGGCGAUCUGACGGAGGGGCCUCCCUCGGUCAGGAAAUGAAUUUCGCCUCGGGAGGGGCUCACGUGCUAUUAGCUAGACGGCGGGGUAACGGCCCACCGUGGCAAAGAUGGCUAGCGGGUGUGAGAGCACGACCCGCGCCACUGGCACUGAGACACUGGCCAGACACCUACGGGUGGCUGCAGUCGAGGAUCUUCGGCAAUGGGCGCAAGCCUGACCGAGCGACGCCGCGUGCGCGAUGAAGGCCUUCGGGUUGUAAAGCGCUGUCGAGGGGGAGGAAAGCCCGCAAGGGUCUGACCUAUCCCUGGAGGAAGGACGGGCUAAGUUCGUGCCAGCAGCCGCGGUAAGACGAACCGUCCUAACGUUGUUCGGAAUCACUGGGCUUAAAGGGCGCGUAGGCGGGCCAGUCGGUCCGGGGUGAAAUCUUUCGGCUUAACCGGAAACGUGCCUCGGAUACCGCUGGUCUAGAGGGAGCUAGGGGCAUGUGGAACUUCUGGUGGAGCGGUGAAAUGCGUUGAUAUCAGAAGGAACGCCGGUGGCGAAAGCGACGUGCUGGAUCUCUACUGACGCUGAGGCGCGAAAGCCAGGGGAGCAAACGGGAUUAGAUACCCCAGUAGUCC